CAGUCGAGCGAACAGAUAAGGAGCUUGCUCCUUUGAAGUUAGCGGCGGACGGGUGAGUAACACGUGGGUAACCUACCUAUAAGACUGGGAUAACUUCGGGAAACCGGAGCUAAUACCGGAUAACAUUUAGAACCGCAUGGUUCUAAAGUGAAAGAUGGUUUUGCUAUCACUUAUAGAUGGACCCGCGCCGUAUUAGCUAGUUGGUAAGGUAACGGCUUACCAAGGCGACGAUACGUAGCCGACCUGAGAGGGUGAUCGGCCACACUGGAACUGAGACACGGUCCAGACUCCUACGGGAGGCAGCAGUAGGGAAUCUUCCGCAAUGGGCGAAAGCCUGACGGAGCAACGCCGCGUGAGUGAUGAAGGGUUUCGGCUCGUAAAACUCUGUUAUUAGGGAAGAACAAAUGUGUAAGUAACUGUGCACAUCUUGACGGUACCUAAUCAGAAAGCCACGGCUAACUACGUGCCAGCA
rnacentral:rRNA from 1 species